UACAGAGGGGGCAAGCGUUGUUCGGAAUUACUGGGCGUAAAGGGCGCGUAGGCGGCCUUCUAAGUCAUGCGUGAAAUCCCCGGGCUUAACCCGGGAAUUGUGUUUGAUAUUGGAAGGCUUGAAUCCGGGAGAGGGAUGUGGAAUUCCAGGUGUAGCGGUGAAAUGCGUAGAUAUCUGGAGGAACACCGGUGGCGAAGGCGGCAUCCUGGACCGGUAUUGACGCUGAGGCGCGAAAGCCAGGGGAGCAAACGGG
rnacentral:rRNA from 1 species